AACGGCUACCACAUCUAAGGAAGGCAGCAGGCGCGCAAAUUACCCAAUCCCGACACGGGGAGGUAGUGACAAUAAAUACUGAUACAGGGCUCUUUUGGGUCUUGUAAUUGGAAUGAGUACAAUCUAAAUCCCUUAACGAGGAGCAAUUGGAGGGCAAGUCUGGUGCCAGCAGCCGCGGUAAUUCCAGCUCCAAUAGCGUAUAUUAAAGUUGUUGCAGUUAAAAAGCUCGUAGUUGAACCUUGGGUCUGGCUGGCCGGUCCGCCUCACCGCGUGCACUGGUCCGGCUGGACCUUUCCUUCUGGGGAGCCCCAUGGCCUUUACUGGCUGUGGGGGGAACCAGGACUUUUACUUUGAAAAAAUUAGAGUGUUCAAAGCAGGCCUUUGCUCGGAUACAUUAGCAUGGAAUAAUAGAAUAGGACGUGCGGUUCUAUUUUGUUGGUUUCUAGGACCGCCGUAAUGAUUAAUAGGGAUGGUCGGGGGCGUCAGUAUUCGGCUGUCAGAGGUGAAAUUCUUGGAUUCGCUGAAGACUAACUACUGCGAAAGCAUUCGCCAAGGAUGUUUUCAUUAAUCAGGGAACGAAAGUUAGGGGAUCGAAGACGAUCAGAUACCGUCGUAGUCUUAACCAUAAACUAUGCCGACUAGGGAUCGGACGGUGUUUUUAUGAUGACCCGUUCGGCACCUUACGAGAAAUCAAAGUUUUUGGGUUCUGGGGGGAGUAUGGUCGCAAGGCUGAAA
rnacentral:rRNA from 1 species